rnacentral:rRNA from 1 species
CGUGUCGUGAGAUGUUGGGUUAAGUCCCGUAACGAGCGCAACCCUUGUCCUUAGUUACCAGCACGUUAAGGUGGGCACUCUAAGGAGACUGCCGGUGACAAAUCGGAGGAAGGUGGGGAUGACGUCAAGUCAUCAUGGCCCUUACGGCCUGGGCUACACACGUGCUACAAUGGUCGGUACAAAGGGUUGCCAAGCCGCGAGGUGGAGCUAAUCCCAUAAAACCGAUCGUAGUCCGGAUCGCAGUCUGCAACUCGACUGCGUGAAGUCGGAAUCGCUAGUAAUCGUGAAUCAGAAUGUCACGGUGAAUACGUUCCCGGGCCUU